UGUCUUGUGGAUCUGCGUGUCUGUGGCGCUGUUGCUCGCUGUAAUGGAGGGGUUCCAUGGUCACGCCUGAAACAGCAGGUGAAGACUAACAGGGAACUCGGGGUUCCGAGCAGAAAGCAAGCAGGAAUUUCCCAGAUAAUUUGGGCCUGGGGUGUCCAAUCAUUUCAGACAUCAUCUGUUUACAGUUUGUGAGUGAUAACUCUGCCCUGGGGACACCCCUUGGAGAGAAAUUCAAAUUGUAUUUCAGAUUCGCUAGCACAAUAUGAAUACAAAUUGUCCAAACAGUUUGUGGACAUUAAAUCGUCACUUAAUACUUUGCCUAUAGACUUCACUGAUGAAAAAAAUAUAGAAGAUAUUCUAAAUUCCAAUUCCAAAAAUCCACUAAGUCUUGCUAGUACUGCAGUCAUUUUGGUGGCACCAUUGUUCCCUCUAUACAGCCUCUCUUCUGCUUCUCUCUUUCUCUGUGUCUAGCUGGCUCUUGCAUGCCUCCAUAGCUUCAUUUAAUCUCUAUCCCAGAGUAGUAGAUGCCUGUCUCCAGUAGCAAAUUCUCCCUUUUAUUUUCAUAAUUUUACUGCAGACAAACCUUUCUGUCUGGAAAUACUCUCGAAGGCACUUCGGGUUCUGUCUCGGAGUGUCUGCUAUAGAAGUUGUGUAAUUCUAUUGGUGUAUGGCGUUUGAUUUAUAAGCCAGGCUUAUAGGAAUGUCAAAUACUGCACAAUAUACAGAUCCUCCUUUUUUGCCUGUAGUAUCACCAGAGAUUUGUGUGAAGUGCAUUACAGUUUUAUAGAAGUACAGAUCUCUGCUGGACGUGUGUCAGUCAGGCUAUAGUGAAAAAUAUUUUUAUUUUAUCUGAAAUUUAGUUCUUUGAGCAUGGGGAAAUCAUUAAUAAUGGUGUUAAAGUGACUUCUCCCACAAACACCCUAAUCUGUGUUGUACUGUACAGAGGCCACAGCAGCUCAUAUACCUCAAAAGGAUCAUUAACGAGUAUGGGAAUGACACCAACUCUGGUCAUAGUUAUUCUUUGAAUCGGUAUUGAGUGGACAAGUAUGCAGGAUCUCCGUCUACUCUUGCCAGUCUGAAUGUCUCUUUGAAAGUGUUUUACAAUUCAAUUAAAACCAGCCUGCCUAGAUUAAUCUGGUACCAUAUCAGCAUAAAGUCAGUACUUCUCAGCAUAGAGAGAAUGGCAUUGGAAGCAAGAGGUCCUAGCCACCAAAAAUCAGUUACACCACGUGCUCGAUACAGUGGUUUGGAUCUUACUGGUCAGGUAGUUUGUAAACUCUCCUGGCUAAAAGUAUCUUUUGGUCGCACACUCCUAGCAUGUUAAAUCCAGUUCAAUGUGUUCAUCUCAUUAGAACAGCAAUACAGUACAGUGCGAGUUGAUUGAAUCUAGUGGAUAGCUUUAACAAAUGACGAGUUGCCAUCCUUGGUUGGGAUGAACGUUGACGGUCUGGACUUAAACAUUGCCUUUAUUGUUCAGUUAUUGCUCAGUAAUAUUUUGAUUUUAAAGAAAUGCUGGCAGGAGUAAAGCUCCUUACAGUUGCAAUCCUUAUGCAAAAUGAAAUACCAAAUAAAAUUGUCUCAAUGUUGUAAUGUGCUACCAAAAGUGUAAAGGUCCAAGUUCACUAUGAAGUAAUGCAUUUGUGGCAGUAUGGUUAUCCCCAAACCCCAGCUGAUCAGGAAGGAGUCUGAAUACUAGUUCCAGCCACAUAAAAUAAGGAAAUGAAUGAUUUUAUAGUAAUCGUGUACUAAACAAAUGCCUCUUCAGUUUCAAAGAACAGUUUUGUUCUUUCCCCUUCCCUUUCUCUAUAUAAUUUAAAAUCCUCUCUUCUGGAACAGCAAAUAAAAUGAAUUGAAAGGAGGGUUUGAAAGCUUAACCUUAAUAAACAAAACAAAUAAAGCCUUUUAAGCCUGUAUGUCUAGUCACUCAUUUAAGAAUGUAGUAUAGAGACUUGCAGUUUAGAUAUGCUAGUUACCCUAGUGCAGGUUACCCAGGAAAGGUGUGUUUUUAAAUAGAACACCUUGAAGGUAGCUAGAUUCCCCAGUUCUCUUACCAUUUAUCAUCUACAGGUCUGACAGCUAAAGCAAUGAAAACCUCAACUAGAAAGUCAGAGAAGGCUAGGCAGAUUACCUGCUAAAACAAAGCUGCUGACGCAUGGCAUGUAGUAGAAUCAGAAUGAGUCAUUUUUUCUCUUUUGAUGCCAACAGGAAGGGCGUCGUCGCACCCUCAUUGGCCUAGAGAAAAUGCAACUAGUAAACGCCAUAGGAUAGGUGACUGCUACACAUUAUGUGUUCAUCCCCUUGAACCUGUGGAGUUGUACUUGAAAGGAUCUCAUGCUGCAAUGAAAUAUAUGUUGCUGCCUUCAAACAGGACUCUAAAGGCUCAUUUAAUUUUACACAGACACCCCUGUGGAUUUAUGUGUGAUCUAGAACUUUGCAACAAAAGAUGAAUUAGAAUAGAUAGAAUCAGGGUGGUGACUAUCAUGAUACAGCUCAGUCUGUCUCAGUUUGACAGUUCUGUGGUUUACUGCCUCUACUCAGGGGACAGGUUUUGUGCCAGAAGUCUUCCUUUCCCCUGUGUGGCUAUUCAGACAGGCUUAACAAAGCCACACCAUCUCGCCGUUACAGCAGGAAGGGUGGCUUAUGCAUCCUUCCUACUGCU